UGAGGAAUAUUGGUCAAUGGACGCAAGUCUGAACCAGCCACGUCGCGUGAAGGAAGACGGCCCUACGGGUUGUAAACUUCUUUUAUACGGGAAUAAAGUGCCCCACGCGUGGGGUUUUGCAUGUACCGUAUGAAUAAGGAUCGGCUAACUCCGUGCCAGCAGCCGCGGUAAUACGGAGGAUCCGAGCGUUAUCCGGAUUUAUUGGGUUUAAAGGGUGCUCAGGCGGGGGAUUAAGUCGGCGGUGAAAUUUUGCAGCUCAACUGUAAAAGUGCCUUCGAAACUGGUUUCCUUGAGUGUGGAUGAGGUAGGCGGAAUUUGUGGUGUAGCGGUGAAAUGCAUAGAUAUCACGAGGAACUCCGAUUGCGCAGGCAGCUUACUAAACCAUAACUGACGCUCAAGCACGAAGGCGUGGGGAUCAAACAGGAUUA
rnacentral:rRNA from 1 species